AACACUUGUAUGUGUGUCUUUGUUCAAUUUGUAACAAAGCCUUAGAGACAAGUACAAACAGUAAAUCCUCUUUUACAACCCAGAUCCCAUUGUUGAGUAUGAGUUUUUGGUAUAUGUUACAAGGAACAUA